GGGGAGCCGGGAGCGGACGCGUGGGAGGAAAGAGCUCAAUGCGGAAUCACAUAGGCAAAGGCUCUGAUUAUUUUCCUUGCAAUCGAAGACAAAAGCCGCCAUGUUUAUUAAAAUGAAAGUCGUAUUUUUACUCUUCCCUGGAAAGAAGUAUGUGCAACCAGACCAUCCCACCAAAGUCCUUCUAGGUAGGGGGAUAGGAGAGUAUUAGCUAAAGAAUACAAAGUUUUUUGGGGGGGUUGAUAAAAAUGUUCUAAAAUUGACUGUGCUAAUGGUUGGUUACAUUUAUCUGUGAAUAUACCAAAAACAAUUGAAUUGUAUGCUCUAAAUGAGUGAAUUGUAUAGGUGUAAAUUAUAUCUUAAUUUUUUAAAGUUUUAAAGGUAAUAUAAUUCUCUGAUGAGCCAGGUUAGGAUGUGAACUUUAGCCAUGGACUAAAGCAAAGUACACGGGAAAAAAAAUCCUUCAUUUUGACUUAGCAUCAUAUAUGUUGAAACAACAAAAUGUAACUAGAGAAAAUUUAAAUAUAUUUUCUAUUUCAUUCAUAUGCCAAAGGAAAAUUAAACUCCCCUUCCUCCAAAAAAUGGAAUAACCGUACCCAGUAAGAG
rnacentral:lncRNA from 10 species